rnacentral:rRNA from 1 species
CUGGCGGCGUGCCUAAUACAUGCAAGUCGAACGGUCUUUCUAUGGAAGCUUGCUUCCACUGAGAAGAUAGUGGCGAACGGGUGAGUAACACGUGGGUAACCUGCCCAUAAGAGGGGGGAUAACAUCCGGAAACGGGUGCUAAUACCGCAUAGUUUUCUUGAUUGCAUGAUUGAGAAAGGAAAGACGGCCUUUGUGCUGUCGCUUAUGGAUGGACCCGCGGCGUAUUAGUUAGUUGGUGAGGUAACGGCUCACCAAGACGAUGAUACGUAGCCGACCUGAGAGGGUGAUCGGCCACAUUGGGACUGAGACACGGCCCAAACUCCUACGGGAGGCAGCAGUAGGGAAUCUUCCGCAAUGGACGAAAGUCUGACGGAGCAACGCCGCGUGAGUGAAAGAAGGUUUUCGGAUCGUAAAACUCUGUUGUCAGAGAAGAACAAGUUGGAGAGUAACUGCUCCAGCCUUGACGGUAUCUGACCAGAAAGCCACGGCUAACUACGUGCCAGCCGCGGC